rfam:Candidatus Staskawiczbacteria bacterium RIFCSPHIGHO2_01_FTLL_36_16 rifcsphigho2_01_scaffold_48857, whole genome shotgun sequence.
GGGGCCAUAGCUCACACUGGGAGAGCGUCCCGCUUGCGGGAAGGUUGUGGGUUCAAAUCCCUCUGGCUCCA